GACGAACGCUGGCGGCGUGCUUAACACAUGCAAGUCGAACGGUGAAGCGCCUUCCUUUUUGGUGGGUGUGGAUGAGUGGCGAACGGGUGAGUAACACGUGAGUAACCUGCCCCCUUCUUCUGGAUAACCGCAUGAAAGUGUGGCUAAUACGGGAUAUUCUGGGUCUGUCGCAUGGUGGGUCUGGGAAAGAUAUUGUUUCGGUGGGGGAUGGGCUCGCGGCCUAUCAGCUUGUUGGUGGGGUGAUGGCCCACCAAGGCGGUGACGGGUAGCCGGCCUGGGAGGGUGGACGGUCACACUGGGACUGAGACACGGCCCAGACUCCUACGGGAGGCAGCAGUGGGGAAUAUUGCACAAUGGGCGCAAGCCUGAUGCAGCGACGCCGCGUGAGGGAUGGAGGCCUUCGGGUUGUGAACCUCUUUCGCCAGUGAAGCAGGCCUGCCUCGUUUGUGGGUGGGUUGACGGUAGCUGGAUAAGAAGCGCCGGCUAACUACGUG
rnacentral:rRNA from 1 species